CAUAUAGCUCUUGUAGUUUUUAUAACUAAGUAGACAAAACAUUCUAUUAGCUACUGUGAAUGGGGUGCCUCAUUUGAAGUCAGGGCUUUGAAGUCAUCGGGUGUGUCUUGCACACUUACAGGGUGGUAGGUUUAUCUGUUUCUGUUUCACCCUUGUGAUAGUUGACUGAGACCUUGAUAUUUCCAAGAGGUGUCUAAAUGGACUGAGCAUUCAUAAUACCCACGUGCAAUAGUUCUUACCUCAGAGCAUUCUAGAAUCACCAGCGCCGGGUCUUGUUCACACCAAUGAAGUCAGACUCUGGCAGUGGUAUUCAGGCCUCAACAAACUUCAAAUCUCGAGAGCACAUCGGCUCACUCUUCUUUACACCCUCAAAGCCAAAGAGGCUGAGCAAUCCUAUGGCAAUAGCAUUCCCAGACCUCAACUGAAGAACUGCAUUUCUUGAGGAGCUAGGAUUUGGAAACUCAGCUCUCACGGUUCAAGGUUCCCAUGGAGGCGUGGCGGGUUGUGGGGACUCCCAUCCUUAGCUGGCCAGAAAACCAAACAAGCCCAGAGUGAUGCCACAGCCACGCACAUCAGCCUCCACAUGAAAUGUGCCACACUUCAGAGGAAGCAUGGUGCUCAAGCUAAAGCAACCCCACCCCUUACCCAUACCAACAAAUGUUCACUUGGGAAAGAGCACAAAUGAUAUUUAGGAAUUUUUUUCUUGGAAGGGUCCAGUGAGGAGUGAUCAUUUCCACACAGCCAGCAGGUGGCAUUAGAAGGCAGGAGCCAUGGGAGAAGGGGUGUCCCCUCCAAAACUCCCAGGGAAGAACCUGCCAUGGGACAGACCCAUCCCCGGCCUGCACAUUUGUCAUUUGGCCUGCUGAGUACUAAAUGACUGGUUUUUAAUUACUUUCCAACCUUUUUUAGAAUGAAUACAAAAAUGUCACAUAAAACCUCUGUUUCCCGAACACCACUAGCCUCGAAUUGUGUCAGGUUGAGAAGUGGCUGGAGCCGAGAGUGGUGACCAUCUUUGAGGAAAGGCCAACUCAUCACUGCCCCACCUCCACUUCACUUGUUAAGUUACUGCCCGCACCCCACGGACACUGGACUUUGUCACCGCAGCACACACCCUCGGCCCAACCCGUACACUCCCCUUCACCGCAACGUGUCUUUGAAACUGCAAACCAAGGAGAAGGAAAGGUGAAAGGUGGGGAAAAGGUGGCAGGUGAUGAUUCAGAAGAGCCCCGAGAUGGCUCUGCGUGGGCUGUCUAAAAGAUCUGGGACGUGGCCUGGGAGACACAGUAGCCUCUGGGGACCUGAACACCGAGCAAUGUGGUCUGUCCUGAUAGCGCUCAUGAUUCACGGUGGAGGCCCCAGGUCAGGGCUCUCAAGCUGCUGCCUUUCUGUUUGUUCUGCUUGUACGUGGAGGGUGAGAGGAAAUCACCAUCUCAGCUUUAAUGAGGUGGUGACAAAUGUAGGGCUCAGGCCACAAGUGAGCUGAAAGGAGAGAGAAGCUGUGGCACCAGCUCAGAUGUGAGAGCUGAAGACGCCCCGCUGUUUAGAUUAUAAGCUUCCUGAAGUCAGGGAAGAUGCCUGGGGGUAGUCUAAGCCAGCACUACAUCCUCGAUGAUCAACCUCCCAUCAAGGUAGGGGGGCCUGAGGCUGACACAGGAAGCAUCUCAUAAAGGUCUCAUAAAGCCAUCUCAAAGAAAUGCCCAACCCCAACUCCUUAUACUCAGAACCACACAAUACAUUUGUGUGCUUCAUCGGAUUGAUGGGACGGAUUCACCAAGAUUAGUGACACAAAGGGUCAUCCCCCACCCCCUUCAAAUCCUACAUAGUUCAUAGAUUCCUGAACAACGGACAAAGCUUACUUCCUAGGAUUCUGGAAGAAUUAAUACAUUUUGUGCACUGUACAAGGCUGCUAUGGCAACCGAAGCCCUGUGGACCACAUCUAGCCUUGACACAGGAGAAUGAGAGAGACCAAACUCCGCAGAGAUGCAGGCAACAAUGCAUGUGCAGUUGUCGGUGCCAUCGUGAACUGGCUCAGCCUCACGGAGGAGAAAACUGAUCUGUUGCCAGUGCUACCCAUGUUCAUCCCUCUGGACCUACUGAUUCCACCCUGGCAACUGCAUCCCAAGGAUAUUACACCUGCUUCUUUCUCCUCGCCCCAAUAGAGACACUUACAAAUUUUUUUCACACCAAAGAGAUGAAACAGCCUACAUAUCUUUAAAGAGACGAGGGCACCUCAACACCAAAGAAUGAGCUAAAAUGACAGGCUUAAGAAUUCCAGGGAGGCAGCCUUAUCCAAAUGAUGCCCAUUGUCCCUGCCCAGUGACAGACACAUAUAUAUUUUUUGGAUGUAGGGCCAUAUACAGGAAUAAAUGAAAGAAGAGUGAAUGAAUGAAUAAAGGCUGAAUGGAGAGGAGAGGACAAGAAGAGUUUAGGCCACACACACCCCCCUCCAAAUUAAUUAAUGACUAAUCUGGAGUUUCAGCAUUAAGCAGGGACAGUGUGGUGGGGUUAUCCAGAAAGCCUCUGAAAUCACACCAAUUAGGUGUCCUAGAGGAAGAUUAAAUGCUCUGAAACCAGCCAAAGCUAAUCAAAGGCAGCCCUUGGAGGCUCCAAAGAACACUUACCUGCACUAUCCGUGUGGCUCUUACUGGCUGUGGUUUUCAUCAUUUUCUCGCUGAAUAAAAGAAAAAGAGAGUCAGCUAUACAGUUUUCAAAAGCCUCCAUUUUUUUCCCCCUUCCAUUCACUAUUCGAAGCAAUUAGCAGCAGCUAGUGAUGGUAUCAAGCAAUGAGGGCAUUUUAGCAUCAGCAUCACUAUUGGCCGGGAUGGAAGAGGCUUCCCAGGUGUGCAUCUGACACUGCUGGUGGAAUGCAGCUGAGCAGCGCUCAUGACUUUCAAAUGAGGUGGACGUGGAGACAAGUGGAUGGCACUUGCAGGCACUGCGCAGUGGUCCAUGAAGCCACAUGCACUGGGAAGCCCAUUUCCCCUUCUUGGGCCAAAGUGUGACCUUCGGCCAAGAAUUACAAGAAGGAAAAACAAACAAACAAACCAUGAUUCAUAGAGAUGGUAAUAUUUUCAGCCUUGAAAUGAUUACAAGAAAACGAAUUUCAAUGAAUGAAUUAUCUUAAUGAUUAAAGAG